rnacentral:rRNA from 1 species
GUGAGGAAUAUUGCGCAAUGGAGGCAACUCUGACGCAGCCAUGCCGCGUGCAGGAAGAAGGCGCUACGCGUUGUAAACUGCUUUUAACCGGGAAGAAACCCCAGGACGUGUCCUGGGUUGACGGUACCGGAGGAAUAAGCACCGGCUAACUUCGUGCCAGCAGCCGCGGUAAUACGAAGGGUGCAAGCGUUAUCCGGAUUCAUUGGUUUUAAAGGGUGCGUAGGCGGAGCGUUAAGUCAGUGGUGAAAUCCUGCAGCUUAACUGUAGACUUGCCAUUGAUACUGGCGAUCUUGAGUGCGCUUGAAGUGGGCGGAAUGUGCCGUGUAGCGGUGAAAUGCUUAGAUAUGGCACAGAACACCAAUUGCGAAGGCAGCUCACUAAGGCGAUACUGACGCUGAGGCACGAAAGCGUGGGGAUCGAACAGGAUUAGAAACCCCUGUAGUCC